rfam:Triticum aestivum genome assembly, contig: Triticum_aestivum_CS42_TGACv1_scaffold_032659_1BL
UAACUACUCCCUUCAUCCGAAAAAGCUUGUCCCUUAAAUGGAUGUAUCUAACACCAAGCUAGUGUUAGAUACAUCCAUUUGAGAGACAAGCUAGGAACAAGCUUUUUCGGACUGAGGGAGUAUAAC